GUCACGCUGUAAACGAUGUCGAUUUGGAGGUUGUUCCCUUGAGGAGUGGCUUCCGGAGCUAACGCGUUAAAUCGACCGCCUGGGGAGUACGGCCGCAAGGUUAAAACUCAAAUGAAUUGACGGGGGCCCGCACAAGCGGUGGAGCAUGUGGUUUAAUUCGAUGCAACGCGAAGAACCUUACCUACUCUUGACAUCCAGAGAAUUUAGCAGAGAUGCUUUAGUGCCUUCGGGAACUCUGAGACAGGUGCUGCAUGGCUGUCGUCAGCUCGUGUUGUGAAAUGUUGGGUUAAGUCCCGCAACGAGCGCAACCCUUAUUCUUUGUUGCCAGCGAUUUGGUCGGGAACUCAAAGGAGACUGCCGUUGAUAAAGCGGAGGAAGGUGGGGACGACGUCAAGUCAUCAUGGCCCUUACGACCAGGGCUACACACGUGCUACAAUGGCGUAUACAAAGGGAAGCGAAGGUGCGAGCUGGAGCGGAUCUCAUAAAGUACGUCUAAGUUCGGAUUGGAGUCUGCAACUCGACUCCAUGAAGUCGGAAUCGCUAGUAAUCGUAGAUCAGAGUGCUACGGUGAAUACGUUCCCGGGCCUUGUACACACCGCCCGUCACACCAUGGGAGUGGGUUGCACCAGAAGUAGAUAGCUUAACCGCGAGGGGGGCGUUUACCACGGUGUGAUUCAUGACUGGGGUGAAGUCGUAACAAGGUAACCA
rnacentral:rRNA from 1 species